rnacentral:rRNA from 1 species
UACGUAGGAUGCAAGCGUUGUCCGGAUUUACUGGGCGUAAAGCGCGCGCAGGCGGCAAGGUAAGUAAGGUGUGAAAUCUACCUGCUCAACGGGUAGGGUGCACUUUAGACUGCUUUGCUUGAGGUCGGUAGAGGGGGGUGGAAUUGCUGGUGUAGCGGUGAAAUGCGUAGAGAUCAGCAGGAACACCCGUGGCGAAGGCGGCCCCCUGGGCCGUACCUGACGCUGAGGCGCGAAGGCUAGGGGAGCGAACGGG